CGGGGACAGCCCCUCGGCGCACCCGCCCCAGGCCUCAAGUCGCCCGGCCCCGGUGCGGAGAGGAGGGGAAGAAGGAAGCCGCAGAGCAGGCUCUCCCUCUAUGGCCACCCCGCAGAGAGGGAGAAGAGGUGGUUGCUGGCGUUCCCCGCUGGCGGGGCGCAGGACGGAGGAGCCGUCGGCCAUCUCCUUCCCGCCCAGCGCGGCUGAGGCGAGCCGGGGCCGGCUGAGGGGAGCUCCGAUCCCGGCAUCCCCAUAAUACACUUUUAAAGUACUAAGGUUCCCCUUCCUCUCACGAUGACAGCCAAAUGGAUUGCUGCCAUGAUUUACAAUGAAAGGCAAACUACCAGUGAUAUCAGCAGAUGCUACGAGGAGAUGGGAGCUGUGACAGCUGGAAAGCAAGGAAUUAAUAUCUGCUAUACAGAGAAUGGUGUCAAAAAGCUUUUCAUAAUCUGCAGGCCUAUAAUGCUGCACCUCAGCAUUAAUGUCCAUUCCGGAUGCACCCCUCAACACUACUUCUAAUACUUCAAGCUGCCUAUGAAAGAAGCUCCCGCCCUCACACAGAACAGAGCCAUACAUCAACAGGACAGGAAGACAUGAACGAGUUUAAACCAUGAGCUUUAAGGAGAGAAAGGAACGAGCUCUGUAACUAUCAAAUCAGUUAACAGUUUUGGUAGGCUCUAAGUCCUAGCCAUGAAGGGUUUGAGGAACCUUCUCUCCAAGGAGUAGCAACUGCCAGCUCACAACAUUUGUAUUGCCAACUGAUCCUCACACAGGAGCCACUGUGCUUUCUUUGGGCCAGCCAAGCAAAACAAACUGGAGAGAUGCUCACUUAACAGAAAGGGGCCAAUACUUGAGACCAGGAACAUCCUGGUCACAGCUGAACUCUACGCGAACGCUGCUAACUCAUAUACUUCUACCUUAAACAGAAUAUACAGCACAAAAGUUAACUACAGUAUCCAAACUUACACAAAACACCUCCACAGCUGCCUAACCUUGGUCUACAGCUCUGUGUGAACAGCUCUACCUCGCAUCGUAGUGACAAUCUGAAGAUUAGAGGCCAAAUAAAUGGAUAAACUUUGGGAGAGCUUAACAUCAACUGCUAGCAAACAGAGACGAGACAUAACAAAGACGGGGAAGCCGAGACUACACACAGUGUUCAUACUGCUUUUUGUAUCCAUACUUCAUAUAUCUGUGAAAAUCAUUUAACUACAAAACUUUAGGUAGAAAAAUAACUGUAGAUCUUGUCUACAUGUGUCAUUAACACAUACUAGUAUCAAUUGUUUAGUCAAGAUACAGUGCAAUACCUCUUUGGAAUCAAUUGCAAAGAGUCCCUAUGGAGAGAGAGCAAGAGUACCUUAUUCCUGGCAUUUUGUAGUAAUGUAGUAUGGAGUAUUUAUGGAGGUAAGUCAGGACAGCUAUUGUACUUCCAAAUGGAACCCAACUGAGUUCAGGUUAACUUCAAGCACAGUCCUUGAGAUGAGGCAAGCCAGAAGCAACAGUUAUCUAAGCCCUCAAGGAACUUUUCCUACGCCUUCAGGAUACAAAGCUGAAGUAUGAUCACAGCAUUUUCAUCCAAGAAAAGAAUAAGCCGAAGAAAGAAAAAUAAAUGUAAACCAAGUUUAUUUUGCUUUUAAGUAGUGUUCUUUAAGCACUACAGCAUGGUAAACAAUGUAAAUUAGUAUAAGUCAUCUCAAAAGCCAGAGGUUUGUUUUUUUGUUUUUUGUUUUUUUUUUUUUUCUCUUUUUUAUUUUAUGAGUUGUUAAAAAGAUGCAGCCUAUUCUAACAGGAUAAAUAUUUUAACCAUUUCACUUCGAGUUAAUGAAGGCUCACAAAUGAGCAACACUCCUCAUUGAGGAAAACAAAAAGCUGUUGUCGACAAAGCGACAGCACACACACAAAAACAAAAGAACUGUGUAAAAAUAACUAACUGUACUGUGUUCCCAUACUCUUUCCAAGUUGCUUUACAAUGGGAUGAUGAUAUGCACAUGAUCUUGCUGCAAACUUGCCAUACAACUUGCAAAUACAUGUAGCCUAGCCUUACCACUCAGUCCAAAAAGCUGCUAACUGCUCAGAACAAACGCAGCGCUAUAAUCCUCUGCUUAACAAUGAAGUCAAUCCGUUUUUACUCAUUCCCUUUCCUCCUAGGCUGCAGGACAGGCUAGAAAGAAAAUGAUCCCGAAUUAAAAAUCGAUACUCUUCCAGGAAAAUUGUAGGAUUUUGCAAUAGAGUCUUUUACAAGUUAUGUUUUUGCCUAUUUUCCCCUUAGCCACAAAAUGGGCAUGAAGUAAUUACUUUGAAAAUGCCUUAAUUUUCAACUUCAUGCAAAUCUAAAGAAAGAUGACCAAACAAAAGCUUAAACAAUGGAAGGAUAUUUCACAGAAAAUUUCUUAUACAAAAAACACAUAAGAAAAAGGGCCACUAGGUGACAUUUUAAUUUACAAAUUGGCAUCAUUUUGGUCAACAAAUAUCCAAGUGCUGUUUUCUUCUAUCACAACAAAGUAGCUGUACAGAAAGAAAACUGCAAAACUUGUUUUAUUGUGUGUUUUGUUUUUAAUCGCACAUCUCCUCAGGAAUUUCAUGUGGAUUAAGGAUGCCAGGUACAGACAUCUGAAGUUUAUGCUUCUCCUCUUGAGCCUGCCGAAGGGCUGUUUCUCGUUCCUCCAAGAAUAAGUCUGAUGUGUCUUCACCUGCAAAUUCCUGUGGGAUCCACAUAAAACCAUUAGUUUAUUGGUGAGUGCUUUAAGGCAGAGUAAGAAGCUUCCAAAAUGACACAGAAAACAUCUUCCCUUCACGUUCCCUGCCAGACUAUUUGCUUUGCCUUCUGUUCCUAAUGUCAGAAUUAAUAUCAAGGAGUGGAACACAUUUUAGGAUGUUCACUGUGCGUACAAAACAGGGUGCUAUCGUAACCCAGUGUUUGGAGCUCAGCAGUAUCAUUAACAAUGUUGAAACAGGGUUUGGUUUGGGUUGGAAAGGAAGUUAAGAUCAUCUAGCUCCAACCCCCUGCCAUGGGCAGGGACAUUUCUCACACUAGACCAAGUUGCUCAAAGCUCCAUCCAAAAAUACCUGCUGAUUGCAGCCUCAAAACUAAUGAACAACAAGCUCUUCCUUACAAAAUUCCUGAAUUCUACCAUCUUCAGAAA